CGGGGUGCACCAGGCGCGAAAACUUUACAAUGCGGGAAACCGUGAUAAGGGGACACCGAGUGCCAGCAUCAUAUGCUGGCUGUCCGGGUGUGUAAAAUACACCCGUUAGCAAGGGCCGGGCAAGACCGGUGCCAGCCGCCGCGGUAACACCGGCGGCCCGAGUGGUGAUCGUGAUUAUUGGGUCUAAAGGGUCCGUAGCCGGUUUGGUCAGUCCUCCGGGAAAUCUGACGGCUUAACCGUUAGGCUUUCGGGGGAUACUGCCAGGCUUGGAACCGGGAGAGGUAAGAGGUACUACAGGGGUAGGAGUGAAAUCUUGUAAUCCCUGUGAGACCACCUGUGGCGAAGGCGUCUUACCAGAACGGGUUCGACGGUGAGGGGCGAAAGCUGGGGGCACGAACCGGAUUAGAUACCCGGGUAGUCCCAGCCGUAAACGAUGCUCGCUAGGUGUCAGGCAUGGCGCGACCGUGUCUGGUGCCGCAGGGAAGCCGUGAAGCGAGCCACCUGGGAAGUACGGCCGCAAGGCUGAAACUUAAAGGAAUUGGCGGGGGAGCA
rnacentral:rRNA from 1 species